rnacentral:rRNA from 1 species
UACAGAGGUCCCAAGCGUUGUUCGGAUUUACUGGGCGUAAAGGGUGCGUAGGUGGCCCUGUAAGUCAGUGCUGAAAUAUCCCAGCUUAACUGGGAGGGUGGCAUUGAUACUGCGGGGCUAGAGUACAGAUGAGGUAGGCGGAAUUGACGGUGUAGCGGUGAAAUGCUUAGAUAUCGUCAAGAACACCUAUAGCGAAGGCAGCUUACUAGGCUGUAACUGACGCUGAGGCACGAAAGCGUGGGGAGCAAACAGG